rnacentral:lncRNA from 1 species
UUUUUUAUUUUAUUUUCUAAUUUAGACAAACAAACCUAAUAAAAAAAAUAAAUAAAACAAACAAGGUAUGGGGUGGAUUUGUCAUGCAAAGGGACUACAUAUAGUAAAAACUAAUAAUCAAACAAGAAAUAAAAACAAGAGAAAAAAAAACAAUAAAACAGGGGUACAGAGAUAACAAAUUGGGGUGUAUCAGAAAAUUCCUUAGCUCAGGCCCAAAUGAACAAGAGGGGUGCGGCGGUGCAGUUUGGGGGGUGCCACUAGUAGUUGCUGGUCAGGCCCAAGGCCACUUCUUGUUUGCAGGAAUGGAUUGGGGGUGUCAAUAUGAUUGUGUGUGGUGACGGGAAGAGGUGGCCCACGCCAGCCCAGGUCUCUUAACCCUAACANAAUUAGGGGUUCCAGUGAAUCUCCCCAUUAUGCCAAACACCAAGACCUAGGGUCANCUUCUCUGAACGAAAGAAGCUAGAGAUCUGCCUCCACUGCUCACGGUCUCNUUUCAGCUUUCGGCCACCAUAAACCGAGGUCCACGGCNCNGCCGACAGNGACCCUCCUCCCCUUUUCCACAGCGGCCAAUGGUUGGGGCUUUCUUCCUUUGGGCACCGCCGGUCGCCUCUUCGAACCNAGUCACCGCGCCACCAUCUCCUCCCGGUUUCAACGUCGUUCGCUGUCAGAAACGUCGGAGACGACGCCNAUUACCACCAGAGCCCUGCGUCGAGCUUUCUCCAUCACCAUCGUUGCGCCACAACCACCGUCGAACCUGUGGCGCCGCGCCCUUCUUCUCUUCGACCAGAGCGUAUGGGACUUCUUCUUCUCCCGGUUUCAUCGGCGCCUUCCACCAUUUUUCCUGGGCCAACGUCAUCAGUUCAGCGUCGUUCAGCCACCUUCGACGCCACUGCCAAUGAUUGUGCCAGUGCCUCCAUCCCCGCUCCUCUCUUCUCUAAGCGAGUCCGAAACCCAAUUUCCUUCAGACUUGCAAACAGUGUAGGUGUCGACGACACCAUCUUCCUAUCGAUUAGAUAUUGGCAAUGAAGGUGGUGAGAUUUGGGACUUUGAUGAUGACAAAGUCGUGAGAGUGGGUGAGGAUAAUUGUGGUUGUUUUGUUGAAUUUGCAGGUGACGAAUGGAUGUUGUUGGGUGAUGAAAAUGUAAGAAGGUAAAGCAUGAUUGAGUUUCUCUGUUUUGUUUCUUUUUCUGAAAAUGGUGGAGGUUAGGAAAUGGGAGAAUGGGUUCCGCUCUGUUUUGCUUUGGUAUUGGGUUUCUGUAAUCUAUGAUGAAGGUGGNGGUGGCUAGCCAAAAG